rnacentral:tRNA from 1 species
GGUGAGUAGGUUUAAUAAAACUAGUGGGUUGUAAACCCGAAGAUGGGUUUUAUCCUCUUACCA